UGUCCUACUCAUGGGUGGAGGGAUCUGGG
rnacentral:piRNA from 1 species